GGUUGUGUGGUACAGAGGUUUAGCACAUCUCUUUCACACAGAGAAGGUCCCAGGUUCGAACCCUGGUACGGCCA
rfam:Magnaporthe poae ATCC 64411 unplaced genomic scaffold supercont1.5, whole genome shotgun sequence.